GAGGGUUUGCAUCUGCAGCCCCUUCUUCCUUUGGAAUCCUGCUGCUGCCCCUUGCUGCAAGACAGGGAGACCUCAAAGGCAUGGAUUCAUGAAGGUAUUU